GAUGAACGCUAGCGGGAGGCCUAACACAUGCAAGCCGAGCGGUAUUUGUUCUUCGGAACAGAGAGAGCGGCGCACGGGUGCGGAACACGUGUGCAACCUGCCUUUAUCUGGGGGAUAGCCUUUCGAAAGGAAGAUUAAUACCCCAUAAUAUAUUGAGUGGCAUCACUUGAUAUUGAAAACUCCGGUGGAUAGAGGUGGGCACGCGCAAGAUUAGAUAGUUGGUGAGGUAACGGCUCACCAAGUCAAUGAUCUUUAGGGGGCCUGAGAGGGUGAUCCCCCACACUGGUACUGAGACACGGACCAGACUCCUACGGGAGGCAGCAGUGAGGAAUAUUGGACAAUGGGUUAGCGCCUGAUCCAGCCAUCCCGCGUGAAGGACGACGGCCCUAUGGGUUGUAAACUUCUUUUGUAUAGGGAUAAACCUACUCUCGUGAGAGUAGCUGAAGGUACUAUACGAAUAAGCACCGGCUAACUCCGUG
rnacentral:rRNA from 1 species